rnacentral:rRNA from 1 species
GAUGAACGCUGGCGGCGUGCUUAACACAUGCAAGUCGAACGGAAAGGCUCCUGCUUGCAGGGGUACUCGAGUGGCGAACGGGUGAGUAACACGUGGGUGAUCUGCCCUGCACUUCGGGAUGAGCCUGGGAAACUGGGUCUAAUACCGGAUAGGACGAUGGUUUGGAUGCCAUUGUGGAAAGUUUUUUCGGUGUGGGAUGAGCUCGCGGCCUAUCAGCUUGUUGGUGGGGUAAUGGCCUACCAAGGCGUCGACGGGUAGCCGGCCUGAGAGGGUGUACGGCCACAUUGGGACUGAGAUACGGCCCAGACUCCUACGGGAGGCAGCAGUGGGGAAUAUUGCACAAUGGGCGCAAGCCUGAUGCAGCGACGCCGCGUGGGGGAUGACGGCCUUCGGGUUGUAAACUCCUUUCGCUAGGGACGAAGCGCAAGUGACGGUACCUGGAGAAGAAGCACCGGCUAACUACGUG